GGUGACAGUGACGGCUAUAGGCAGUGUGUGCUCGUGGAUAAAUCAAUUAUGGAUGCCUGACUAUGCAGGAUGGUGCCCCAGGCCUUGACCACCAUGGCGGAGAUGAAGCUGCGUGUUCACCUGUGCAGAAAGAAGACUGUGUGUACAAGACUGGGACAUUGUACCCCUUUGAAUCCAAAAUCCUGAAUACACACAUCAAUAAAUGUGUUGUGCUACAUC